rnacentral:lncRNA from 1 species
CUACCUCUGAGCCCUCUCCUCUUCUCAAAUUCUCUCUAACACUCGAAACCCUAGCAGCCCCUACCUUCUUUUUUGACUAAAUCCCACUUCAGUCUAUGGCUUCUCAGAUUAUGGACAGCCUGUGCUCACCUGCUUUAACCUCCAGGCCCUGGUUGUUCAAUGCUUUGAGGUCCGACCUCAACGAUGCCUAUUCAGAUCCUCUGCAGAUUUGAGGUCCUAGGGCCUCUCCGGCUCCGUUCCUACGUGUUCGAGCCUCAAGAGCCUAUAUAUGGCUCAGAUUUGUUUGAGACCAGAUCCCUUUCCAAGCCUUCUCAUUUCUAGGGUUUCUAAGAAACCCUAAAGUUUUUCGAGGUUGCUACUUCUUUUAUUUUCUUAGAUAUGUGAUAAAUAUGUGUUAUACUCGAAGUUUUAAAGCUUUUCCCCAAUUUUCUUUUUCAAAUUUCGUCUGUUUCAAUUUAUGGUUUUCAAAAAUCUUGAACUGAAUUUUGUCUUUUCUUCUUCUUCUUUAUUUAUGUGAACCUGUAUAUGCUUUAUUCUUAUGUAUUUUCGCUUGUGUACGUCUUCUCCUGUGUUUCUAUGUUUUACUGGUAUCACGCAUGUUCUUCCGUUUGUGCUCUUUCUCCUACUGGGUUCUAUAAGCAUGUUCUAUAUGUUUUUUCUCUCGCAUAUUCCUCUACCGUAUUUUGUUUACUCAGUUUUUACUUCUUGCCUGCCUUUACUGGAUUUUGUAUAAGCCUAAGCAGAUCCAUUUACUGGCUUUCCUAAAACCUGUAUUGUUUUUCUCUUCUGAACUUGUUCGAGCAACAAGCUUUGCCUAAAUGAUUCCCUAUAAUUCGAAUUUGCUUUUUCCCUUUGUUUGUUCUCCCAUAAGUCUCUGAAACAGGCUAUUGAGCCUAUUCUACUUCUUAUUUUCGCCUAUGUAUCUGAGGUGAGUCAGAAACCCUAGUGUUUAGGGUUCUUGAUGAGCUUGGCUAUUUGCUUGGGUUAGGUUCCACUCAAACCCUGACCCUCUUUCAAAGACUCACUUUGAGUCUAUGAACCUAAUUUUCCUUGCUACUCUGAUUUUUUCUAUGUUUUAAAACGAUGCUUUCUUGUCUCUGCAUGCUUUUAUAUGACUUUCCCUUCUUUCAAAAGGCCUUUUGCCAACUUGUGAUUGAUUUCGAGUUCCUUGUAACAAGGCUCGAUUGAUUGUUACUGAUUUUCAAAUUGAACCUUUCCCUUACCUUUUUUCUGACUAAAUUCAUUCAAGCAAGGCUUUCAAUCUAAUGGUUGUUAAAUGAUCUUCUUUCCUUAUUUGCAUAAUCCGUGUAUUUCAAAACAUUGUCCUUAAAUAACUUUUAUGUAUUUGCCCUCAAUUGCAUGCUUUGCACAUAGUGUUUAUUCAAUUUCUUUCCAUAAAAAGUUUUACCCUUUUCGAAUAUGAAUCCCUUAAUUAAGGGAAGCCUUGUGUAAUUGAUUGACAAUCAGCUCUUUAACUAUUUUCUUACCUUAUUUCUGCUUGAUUUCGACACUAUAAAGUAUCCUUUUUCGAAUAUGAAUCCCUUAAUUAAGGGAAGCCUUGUGUGAUUGAUUGACAGUCAGCUCUUUAACUAUUUUCUUACCUUACUUCCGCCUGAUUUCUACACUAUGAAAAGGCACGACCUUUUGACACUUCAAAAAAAAAAACACAGACACCUUUGUCUUAAAAAAAUAUACUACUUUCUCUACUACUACUCUCUCUACUACUGAUUUCUCUACUACUGCUUUCUCUGUUACCACUUUCUCCGUAGAGCACCCUGCUCCUAUUCUCAUUACUGUGAAAAUAUUCUUUGAGUUCCUUUGAAUUCUCAAGUGAUUGCUGAAAUUUCUGAGUUUUCUCCUGCUGACUCUCUGGUUGUUUACUUGCUAUUGUUGUUCUACUGUAAUGACCCAACCCGUCGUCUCUGGUAUCUCUACCCAGUUUUCCCUGUUCUAUACUUCUAUAUGUUUCAUUAUAUGUGUUUGAGGAAUUUGAAGUAAUUCGGAUAGAGUUUGGGUAGAAAUGAGACAAUUAAUCCCUUUAUGAGAAGGUUAGUUUGGAAAAAUCAAUCGAAUGUUGACUUAUGAGUUAGAGGACUCGAAAUGAAUUUCAAACGAUUCGACUAGUUUCAGGUGGUAAUUUAUGACUUAGGAGCGCAAUCUGAACUGAAUUUGGAGGUCUGAUGUAGAUUUAGGCAUUGGCUAAGUUAGAAUUUUGGCGAAGUCCGGUUGAUACGUGAGAUUUUGAUCUGUGGUUUGGAAUGGAAUUCCGAUGGUUGCAGUAGCUCUGUUAGGUGAUUUUGGAUAUGCGUGAAAAUUUUCAGAUCAUUCGGAGGUGUUUAGGUCGGGUUUUGGAUCAAUUGUGUGUUUUGGAAGUUUUAGAAGAAUUUAAGCUUGAAACCGAUGUAAAUUUGGUAUUUGAUAUUAGUUUUGGUAUUUUGAGAGUGCAAAUAAGUUUCAAUGAUCAUAUGUGAUCUUUUAGUGUGUUCGUAUGCGGUCCAGAGGAGUUCGGAUGAGUUUCGGAUAGGUUUUGGCUGCGUUGUGCUCGUUUUUCUUAUGUUUCAACGUCGUUUCUUCAAGCAUAAAUGAUAUCAUAUUGAACAAAUAAGCUUUGAUUACUUUUUUGAAUGAAUCACUAGAUCCGUAUUGUAAUUAUGGACCGUAGAAAAAAGAAUCAUCGAAUAUGGACAUCAUAUGAGGAUUUUAUGGCCGUUUUAUCAAGGUUUGCCCAGAUUUUCAAAUUAAUGACGAAAUUGCCCCUGACGGCGUAUUAAAAACCUGCACUAUUUGCAAAUCUUAAAACCUACAUAUCUCAUUCAUUAUAAGGUCAAUUUGAGUGAUUCAAAAUCCUAAAUUCAUUAGAACUUCACAAGAAAUUUACAUAUCUCCUUCAUUUUAAGGUCAAAUUGAGUGAUUCAAAAGACUAAAUUCAUUAGAAUUAAACAAUGAAUCCAUUGGGAGCAGUUAAACGCGUGAAAAAUAUACCUGUAAUGAGCAGGUCGAGUUGUCUUCCAAUUUGUGAAUGGGAAGAAGCUUCCGAGGCAAUUUUUACAAGAGAAAAUUAGUGGGUAUCGCAGAGGUAAGUUAUUUAAUUAUAAAAACCCAUUUAUAGGUGAUAAUAAAUCAUAAUACCAACCUUUAAUUCAUGAAAAGCAGUAGAAAAAUAGGAUUUUGGGGCCUGAGAUUAUGAGACCUUUAGGGGUCGAUUUCAGGGGUCAAAUGGACUUCGAUUUUGGUGUUCUUUAUAUGUAUAGAAUCAGGAGACGAUGAAGAACACAUUUAUGUAAAAAAUUCUGAGUUUCAAGAAUUGGACCCGGGGCUCGGGUUUUGUCAAUUUCGGAAUUAUUGAUGCUUUUCGGCUAUAUUUGAUUGGGUAUUGAUCCUGUAGUGUAAUAUGAUGUUUUCGUUGUGGUUUUGUCUAGAUUCGACGCGCGAGGAGGUCGAUUCAAGAGGAAAGGGCAUUGCGGGCUAGUCUACUGCCGGUUAGAGGUGAGUAGUUUGUAUAGAUGAUGACCAGAGAGUUUGAAACCUUAGUUUAUCACAUCGUGACACAAUGUUAGGGCGCGACUCCACCCCAUGGCAGGUGCAGGAUGGUAUAUGAUUGGGGAUUAUGACUUGGUCCAUCUCGAGAGCAGAAUAUAAAUUAUUGGUGACUGAUACACACAUUGUGUUGUUGAUAAUUGGGCUUAAUGCCAUGUUUGGGACCUUGUGCCGAUCUAUAGUACCCGUCUAGGGUGAUUAUCUGUGUGAUAACAUGAUUUGCAUAAUCAUUGAUCUCAGUCCCGUGUUUAAUCACCGUAAUGAAAUGCUAAGUCAGUUAACCUGAAAUUAAAUAAUUAAAUUAUAUUCUUCCUAAGAGUUGAAAACUGAAAACUAAGUUGUAUCUAUUAUGUGAAUCCUAUGCAUAUUAUGGACAGAGCAUGGAUCGGGCUACACGCCGUAGCGAUUAUAUAUAUUGGAUCGGGCUACACGUCGUAGCGAGUAUAUACAUUGAUAUUGAGGCCGAGAGCCUGGUUUAUGCCAAUAUUUGGCUGAUAUUGCGCUUGGGCUGAAGGAGCCCCUCCGGAGUCUGUACACACCCCCAGUGAGCGCCCUCGACGAUAAAUAAAUAUGGAUGGCUCAGGCUGCACGCCACAGCAUAUUCAUGUGCAUUUCAUUGCAUUUUUUAUCUGAUACUUGAUUGCUAUUUUGAUAGUGUUUUGCUGUUAGUUCAUCGCUAAGGAAUAGGACUGUUAGAUUUCGUGGAUUUUUUACUUUCAGACAUUUCUAUGCUUAUUAUUCACUGAGUCGGUAGUACUCACCCUUACUCCCUGCACCUUGUGUGCAGAUUCAGGUACAUCGAAGGCUUAGCUGACAAAUCAUAGUCUCCAGAUAUUUCCUGAGUCGUUGAGGUAGCUGCAUGACGUUCGCAGGACCUGGUUGCUCUUCAUUUUCCA